UCUCUUCCAUCUUCUUCAAUUAAUUUCUCAUAUGACAGCCUUUUUCAAAACGUUAGCAUCCUCUCGACUUCCCUUCUCAUUCUAUAUAAGAGGGAUGUCAACAGAAACCAAUAAACUCAAGUUUUUUUUUAUAUUGUUUCGCCCCAAAAACGGGCAUCAGAAUAUUACAAUCUCAGUGUACCGGAAAACGGUAAACCUAGGUUACAGGUGAAGCUUAAAAACAACAACAUAGAGGGUGCAAUCAUGGAUGAAAAGACAAACUUCCCAAUCCGGCUGGACAACGGUGGCCAUCAGAUCUUCGGGUCUUCACCAACCUAGGUUGUCCAAUCCCAGGCGUAGAUCCGUCGCCGUCGACCAUAGAAAAUGAAACCACCACCAGAGGGGUCCCGCGGCCACAAACACUGGCUCCGAGAAGACAUACACUAAACCUUAGCCGCUGCGACUGCAAAAGACGUUCUUUGCUUCACAUUUCCCACAAACUCAAGUUAUCUCUCAAGAGGAGAGGGAGAUUAUUUUCCUACCAUCAAAUCUGGAAUGUGCCAGAGUUUUCUACAGUGGAUGACGACAUCUCGAAGAUCCACCACCAAUGUAUGUAUAUGAGCGUGAUGUCUGAUGGGAUUGAUGGACUUCUUUCGUUUCAGAUGGAUAAGUUUACAUACAUGUUUGUGAUUUGACUGGAGUAAGGUUCGGUCGGAGACGGGAGAUGAAUUUUAUUCCUACCAUUCAAAAAACAACCAGCUAACCCCAUAUUUACGUUCAUGCAAACCAAUCUUUCCCAUGGAUAGCGUUGCUUGGUGAAUUUAAUUGCAUAAGCUCUAGUUUAGAUUGAAAAUCUACCCAUUCACCAAAUCUUUUUUAUAGUUUGAAUAGUUCUUCAAAUUAGUUGGUGCUUUCCAUUGUUGCUUCACAAUCUCUGAUCAAGGGUAUCUUAAACUCACAUUGCUUUUUGCCACAAAAGCUCAUCAAGAUCUCUGUUAUGUAUGUUUCAGAUCAUGGGUUUACUGGAAGUAGUUGCCUACAGCAACAGCAACAUCCCGAAUGGAGGGUUCGUCUUUGUUAUCAUGUGUACCUGAGAAAUCAGAAAAGAAACAGGUUAGUGAAGAAGCUUCAAGAAGCACAAAAGAUUCUGAAUAUGAGCAAGUGGAUGAAGUUGAUGAGGUUUAUGUUGCAAGCAACAAGAAUUGUCCGAUCUCUGCAAUUGUUGCAUUCUACCUGUGAGCUGGCAACACCGAGUGGUAUACAGAAGAUGAUACAUUGUACAUGUUUGAUGGCAGGUGCUUUAAUUCUCUGUGUUCUACAGCUCACUAACUUCCACUAUUGAGGAUAGCAAUUCUGGAACCAAACGGAAACAGAACAUGAGGAACAAAACAUUAUGCAAAGACUAAAUUUGGCAAGAAUAUAGCCAAUGUAUCAGCAAGACUGAGUUACAACUGGAUCAUACUGAAGGUACAACAACUAUAUCAGAUGUACACCCCGAUGAUCAUUCCCUUGGGGUCUUUCAUGUGUCCUCCUUUUCUCUGGAAACUCAGGUUCCUACCUCUUAUUGAGGCUUUCUUUGUUUUAUAUGUGAGAAAAUUCAAACUCCUUCAAUAUUACAAAAGGAUCAUGUGAAUGUGACAGAUGGAGAAGUAAAGGAGUCCGCUCAUAAUUAUUC